AAGACCUUGCGCUUUUGGAGCGGCCGAUGCCUGAUUAGCUUGUUGGUAAGGUAAAAGCUUACCAAGGCUUCGAUCAGUAGCUGGUCUGAGAGGACGGCCAGCCACACUGGGACUGAGACACGGCCCAGACUCCUACGGGAGGCAGCAGUGGGGAAUUUUGGACAAUGGGGGCAACCCUGAUCCAGCCAUGCCGCGUGAGUGAAGAAGGCCUUCGGGUUGUAAAGCUCUUUCAGCCGGAACGAAACGGUUACGGUUAAUACCCGUGACUACUGACGGUACCGGAAGAAGAAGCACCGGCUAACUACGUGCCAGCAGCCGCGGUAAUACGUAGGGUGCAAGCGUUAAUCGGAAUUACUGGGCGUAAAGCGUGCGCAGGUGGUUUUGUAAGUCAGAUGUGAAAGCCCCGGGCUCAACCUGGGAACU
rnacentral:rRNA from 1 species